rnacentral:rRNA from 1 species
UGGGGAAUCUUGCACAACGGGGGAAACCCUGAUGCAGCGACGCCGCGUGAGCGAUGAAGGUUUUCGAAUCGUAAAGCUCUGUCCUAUGGGAAGAUAAUGACGGUACCAUGGGCGGAAGCCCCGGCUAACUACGUGCCAGCAGCCGCGGUAAUACGUAGGGGGCGAGCGUUGUCCGGAAUUACUGGGCGUAAAGGGUUCGCAGGCGGCAUGGCAAGUCCGAUGUAAAAGGCGAAGGCUCAACCUUCGUAAGCAUCGGAAACUGUCAAGCUUGAGUGAAAGAGAGGCAAGUGAAAUUCCUAGUGUAGCGGUGGAAUGCGUAGAUAUUAGGAGGAAUACCGGUGGCGAAGGCGACUUGCUGGACUUCAACUGACGCUGAGGAACGAAAGCGUGGGUAGCAAACAGG